ACAAAAUGUGACUGUUUGUGUGUUUGUGCUCUUGAGUUUAACUGGGAGUGACACCUGUUCACCAAUGACCUUCCUGGGAUCUGAAAGUAUAAAAAUGUUAGCGGUAGCGUUUAUGACACGAUACAUUUUUUGAGAAUCUGUAUUUUUUUUUCAGGCUUGAUUUUUGCUCUGAAGAGUCAGAGAUGGGACUCUCAAAAAUUGGGGGGAUGGGAUAAUCAGGAUUAGACUUUGGAAUCAGUGCAGCACACCAGUAUCCAGUGGCUAGUAUCAUGAACUCCCUGGUCAUUGUGCUGUUCCUCUCGAGCAUGGUGGCCAUGAAUACGCCGAGGACGCUGCUCAAAGACAUCGCCCGCUACAGCCAGAUGGACUCUGUCGUGAGCGAUUGCUUUUACAUAAACUUAACAUAAAAGAGCACCGAGUGACAAGGUCUUCCUUCCUUUCUGUAAUAAAUGCACUGACAGAAUGCUUUUAAAAUAACAGCAUGCAGGUGGAGAUGGUCGAUGCUCUGCUCCCGCGUUAAUGCUCUAUGGUGGUGUGCUGGCAGGCUGAGUUUGUUGUUCCUGUUUGCGUGGAGCAGGUGGGAAGGUCAGGUUCAUAUUCAGCAUCCAAGGAUUUAAUAAGCGUGGCUGUAACAACUGUUUUGGGUGGCUGGUCAGACGGGUUGAUUUUACCUUAGUAUCUAUGUAUGGCAAACAAAGGCCGCCUGCUUAAUUCUGGGUGUUUUAGCGCACCUUAGCAUUUUAGUGCUAUUUUGCUCUCUCACCCAUAACAGAAGGGGUUUUCGGGCCACACUCAUGUUAAGAAUUGCGUGUUAACCUGUUUUAUCAUAGAGAGAGGUGAUUAAUUGUUCCUGCAGCUCUUGCACUCUAGACAGACUGACGGUUGGAGUUCUUAAAGUGAUCAGCAGAACUGGUGACCCCAGUACAAGCUGUUUGAAGCAUAUUAACUGUAAUUGGUGCGCCAGUUAUGUUGCUGUUUCAUGAUCCUUUGUGCCAUUCUUCCAAGAGGAUGCCCAGGAGGAAUCUGGUUUGAAGCUGGCGCACGGAGAUGUGUUUCAGCCACCGAGGAUGGGAACACUCCUUUCAGUCUUUCUGGGGUCUGGUACACAGAUCUUCAUCAGCGUGAACCCAGCAUCUCAUGAUCCAGAAGAUGAUAUUUAAACGGGGUUCUGUCAGGGGAGUUUCUAGCUACUAUUGCCCCGAGUGAUCAGAUCUAACUACACCCGAGGGUCCUGCAGAUUUGUAUCCAGAAUAUGUUGACUAAGUAACUGAUUAGCAAACUGCUCUACAAAUUAUAUGUGCCUAGUAGUAUUUGGCAAACAGUAAGAAACUGGAGACAAAAAAAUAACAAAUGCCCUGCCUACAGUGUUUGUAUUAUAAGAUAUACUCUUUAUAGAUAUAGAUAUAAGAUAUACUUUUAUAGAAAAUAAAGAUAAUGAAUUUUGUAUUAUACAAUAUGAAAGCAGUGUAAGGGGAGAAACUCCUUGUAUGACUAAGUGAUAGACUACAGAGCGGUGUGCUGCCGUGUGGAUUGAAGCUGUGAUUGAAAAAUGUAGCUCAGAAUUCAUAACCAAACUGGGGCUUGGUGUUUCCUAAAUUUGCAUUUCACCAAUGAUUAUUCAUUUCUGAAUGUAGUGUAGCUCAUGAAUUUUGCAUGGUUAAAUCAUGGUUAAGUCAAGUGUUUACUUAAAAAAGGAAAAGAUUUAUUAAUCCUCUUGUUGUGAUAAAAAAUAGCUCAUCCAAUCAUUAUCCAAAUGUGUAGUUAUAUAUAUGUGUGUGUGUGUGUGUGUGUGUGUGUGUGUAUAUAUAUAUAUAUAUAUAUGUAACUUAGGCAAACAUAUAUAGGUGAAUUCAGAAGUUUUCCUUUGCUCCAAGUAAAUUUAUGUAGAGAUAAAAUGUUACAUUAGUCUGUCACAAACGAAAAUAAAACACGUGAUUAUCAGUGUACAAAUUUAUUAGGCAAUCAGAAACAGUGGAUUUUUCUCUCUUCACCAUCAACAGAAAUAAAAAAAGGUUUAGUUAUUCAUUCUAUAAAAGGAAUGACAAACCUCAGUCAUCGUUUAAUGUUCUCUAUAGACCUCUUCUCAGUAACCAUCAUGAGCCUGUUAUCCAUUGAACCGUUGAAGUCUUUGAUUCGAUUAUGUCCUGUAUUAGUUGAGGCAGGUAGGACCCCUUCCAAGAUGCUCUCCUUAUAAGUGUACUACUUGCCACGUUGGUAAAUCUCAUUCUUUAGUGAGGCCCAGUACUUCUCAAUGGGGGUUGAAUCAGGCGAUGAAGGAUUCCAGGUCAUAAUUCAAUCACCUUUCAAGCCUUUCUUGGCCAAUCCAUGGAAUGCUUUGAUGCAUGGAAAGGGACAUUGUCUUGCGUGAACAUCAUAGCAUUUUUGAAUGCUGGUGACUUUUUCUUGUGCCAGUGUUUGAAGAAGGUAUCUUCUAGAUCUUGGCAGUAGAUCUUUGGGCUUGGUCUUUCACCAUCUGCAAGUAAGGAAGGUCUUAAAAGUUCAUCGCUGAUAAUUGCAGCCUACAACACUGCUCCUGCACCACCUCGUUGGUGCUUGAAGAGGGUGUCCAUCCACCGGCCCGUCCAUCUGCCCCUACAAGAGGAGAUGUGUCCGUGUCCAUUGUUAAUGUUUUAGCUUGUGUGUCUUAUUGAGUGCAGCUUGUGUUUCAACCUUUGUGAACUCAGUAAUGUCACGCAGCAGACCGCACCUAGUACUGCCAGGGACAGCGUUCAGAUUACAGUAUUGAAAAAUAGUGACAUUUGAUGCUAAAGAGUUUAUGGAAGUCUCUACAUUAAUUUGACAGAAAUCUGGUAGUUAAUUUGUGUCUCUCUACAUGCUUCUAGCAUCAUAUGUGACUGUUGGCUACAAAACAAUUGAUUGUAUAGUGAUCACGCUUUAAAAGUUUGCCAGUUGUAAUUGUUUUGCAUCCUUGAUAUUUUACUAUAGAAUUUUUUCCUGCUCUCCUGUUUUGGACAGUUUUAAUAGUAAUAAUAACUUGCUUAAUAAUUUUGCAAAGUAUCUAUGGUUUCCUGUUUUAGUCCAGAUAGAAGGUACUCAGACAAAAUACUGAGCACGCUCUGUUUUAAACAGUCCAUUCUUAAUUGGAGAUUAAUUUGGGCUGAACUAUUGGUCGGAAGAGAAGAUACAACCAAAACACACAGCUGUCUAAUAAUUCUACACAUGGUGUAUAUCUAUGUAUGUUUAUACAUCUAUUAGAUGUAGAAUCGUGUAACAAUUAUUUAGGCCGUUCUAAAGUACGCAGUAAUAUAUAAUGCCUGUUAUGCAUUAUAUGCCUCACACAUUGCUAUGGACCGAAGAAAAAUGAAUGUGUGGAAACAUAAAUAUAAUCCAUAACAGUCGUUAAAUUGCAUUGAAUGUUUUAGCAUUUGAUUAUUAUUUCUUCGCUAUUUUAAGUAUUCUUAGU